rnacentral:rRNA from 1 species
GAUGAACGCUGGCGGCGUGCCUAAUACAUGCAAGUCGAGCGAACAGACGAGGAGCUUGCUCCUUUGACGUUAGCGGCGGACGGGUGAGUAACACGUGGGUAACCUACCUAUAAGACUGGGAUAACUUCGGGAAACCGGAGCUAAUACCGGAUAAUAUUUCGAACCGCAUGGUUCGAUAGUGAAAGAUGGCUUUGCUAUCACUUAUAGAUGGACCUACGCCGUAUUAGCUAGUUGGUAAGGUAACGGCUUACCAAGGCAACGAUACGUAGCCGACCUGAGAGGGUGAUCGGCCACACUGGAACUGAGACACGGUCCAGACUCCUACGGGAGGCAGCAGUAGGGAAUAUUCCACAAUGGGCGAAAGCCUGACGGAGCAACGCCGCGUGAGUGAUGAAGGUCUUCGGAUCGUAAAACUCUGUUAUUAGGGAAGAACAAACGUGUAAGUAACUGUGCACGUCUUGACGGUACCUAAACAGAAAGCCACGGCUAACUACGUG